CCUACGGGUAGCAGCAGUGAGGAAUAUUGGUCAAUGGACGCAAGUCUGAACCAGCCAUGCCGCGUGCAGGAAGACGGCUCUAUGAGUUGUACACUGCUUUUGUACGAGGGUAAACGCAGAUACGCGUAUCUGUCUGAAAGUAUCGUACGAAUAAGGAUCGGCUAACUCCGUGCCAGCAGCCGCGGUAAUACGGAGGAUUCAAGCGUUAUCCGGAUUUAUUGGGUUUAAAGGGUGCGUAGGCGGUCGGAUAAGUUAGAGGUGAAAUCCCGAGGCUCAACUUCGGAAUUGCCUCUGAUACUGUUCGGCUAGAGAGUAGUUGCGGUAGGCGGAAUGUAUGGUGUAGCGGUGAAAUGCUUAGAGAUCAUACAGAACACCGAUUGCGAAGGCAGCUUACCAAGCUACUUCUGACGUUGAGGCACGAAAGCGUGGGUAGCAAACAGGAUUAGAUACCCCAGUAGUC
rnacentral:rRNA from 1 species